rnacentral:rRNA from 1 species
AUUGAACGCUGGCGGCAGGCCUAACACAUGCAAGUCGAGCGGAUGAAGGGAGCUUGCUCCUGGAUUCAGCGGCGGACGGGUGAGUAAUGCCUAGGAAUCUGCCUGGUAGUGGGGGAUAACGUCCGGAAACGGGCGCUAAUACCGCAUACGUCCUGAGGGAGAAAGUGGGGGAUCUUCGGACCUCACGCUAUCAGAUGAGCCUAGGUCGGAUUAGCUAGUUGGUGGGGUAAAGGCCUACCAAGGCGACGAUCCGUAACUGGUCUGAGAGGAUGAUCAGUCACACUGGAACUGAGACACGGUCCAGACUUCUACGGGAGGCAGCAGUGGGGAAUAUUGGACAAUGGGCGAAAGCCUGAUCCAGCCAUGCCGCGUGUGUGAAGAAGGUCUUCGGAUUGUAAAGCACUUUAAGUUGGGAGGAAGGGCAGCAAGUUAAUACCUUGCUGUUUUGACGUUACCAACAGAAUAAGCACCGGCUAACUUCGUG